AUGUUCAGCUCCACUGACCUCCUUGCCCACUUUGCACGUGCGGGCAUUAUGUCCGUCAGUUCCGCCACACUUGCAGCAAGUGUAGCUGUUACGUGUGUUGUCUCCAUUGGUAGAAAGCUGGUUGGCUCCAAUCUGCUUGUUCUUGUUGACAGUGGCAUCUGUGCGGAGUGGGCAUGUGCGGUAGUUAUGGUUGCUCAUGACGUUGCAGAUUCUGCAUGCCCUUACCCCGAGGGGUUUGCCGUCCGGGCCAAAUUCCACGCGCUUGAUGGGGCGUGGUGGCUUUUUCGCUGUUGCUUGCAUCUUGCUCUUCCUCCCCUUUGUGUUUGA
rnacentral:rRNA from 1 species